GUUGAACGCUGGCGGCAUGCUUUACACAUGCAAGUCGAACGGUAACCGUUUUUCGGGUGCUUCGGCGUGUUUAACUGGUUUGUAAUGCAUAAGGGCUUACUCACGCGUGGGGAAUCACGCUGCGACAGCUGUGUUACAACCGCAAAUGACUUCUGGUUGAACGCAGGGGCCCGAGCAGGAAUGUUCGGCCUCGCACAUUUCCGGUGGUCGAUGUCGGAUUAGCUAGUUGGGGGGGUAAAGGUCUACCAAGGCGACGCUCCGUAGCUGGUCUGAGAGGACGAACAGCCACACUGGGACUGAGACACGGCCCAGACUCCUACGGGAGGCAGCAGUGGGGAAUUUUGGACAAUGGGCGAAAGCCUGAUCCAGCAAUGCCGCGUGCGGGAAGAAGGCCUUCGGGUUGUAAACCGCUUUUGGAAGGAACGAAACGGUGUCCGCUAAUACCGGGAGCUAAUGACGGUACCUGCAGAAUAAGCACCGGCUAACUACGUG
rnacentral:rRNA from 1 species